UAGAGGGGGAAAGAGAGAGAUAAAGAGGAAUAGAGGGGGAAAGAGAGAGAUAAAGAAAGAGGAAUAGAGGGGGAAAGAGAGAGAGAGUCUUAGUGCUGUAACAUGUGAUAGUAGUUUUUUCUCGGCAGGGCUGGGUUGUGAGAGCGGGGUCGGGAGCGGGGUCGGCAGUGUGGUGGGAAAGCACCUUUAGCCCAGAGGGACUUAAAGAGAGUGUGUGUGUCUGUGAGAGUGUGUGUGUGUGUGUGUGUGUGUGUGUGUGUGUGUGUGUGUGUGUGUGUGUGUGUGUGUGUGUGUGUGUGUGUGCACGUGUGUGUGUGUGUGUGUGUGCACGAGAGUGUGUCUGUGUUUCGGCUUCAGCACAGCGCUGUCACUUUAAGCCUGUUACUGAUUACACUCUGAAGAAUGCAGCCGAAGGAGAAAAAAAGACUGAAAGAGAAAGAGAAAGGGAGAGGAGAGAGAGAGGAAAGAGAGAGAGAGGAGAGGGAGAGGAGAGAGAGAGGAGAGAGAGAGGGGGAGGGAGAGAGAGAGACGUGUAAGGACAGAUUCUUUUGAAUUUGGUUUAGUUAAGUUUGGAAGCUAGAGAGACAAUUCUCUCUCUUCUCUCCCUGAGAGAGGCAAACUGGAGGGGAACCCCAGAUUAUCUGACAGAGCGAGAGGGGAGGGGGCAGAGAGAAAGUGGAAGAAGAGGGGAACCGACAGAGAGACAGAACAAUACAGAAAGAGAGACUGAGAGGGUCCGGCGUGAAGCUCACAGCCAUCAGGAGGAAAUGCUCUGAGUAGAAUGGAUCCAAUGACCUAAUGAUGAUCAUGAUGAAGAUUCUGGAGAUUCUUCCACGCAGCAAAGUCAUCCACGUGUAUACUCUAUAUCUGUGACCCAUCCCUCUCCUCCAUUCAUUCACUCUGAAGUUGCGUGUUGGUCAGUUGCUCAGUAGGCAGUGUAGAUCCUGUAUAAUGAUCAGCAGCUACAUCUGGCUACUGGGUCUCUGAAGACACGCCUCCUACUUCCUGCCUAGUGGUUAAUUGCACAUUUCAUUCCUCUCUGAUUGGCUAGUAUGUUAUCAGAUGGGGGGUGGGGGUUACCUCCUAAGAAUCUCUGUGCCUGUCAGGGCUUUAUUUCAGAUUCUUUUCUUUCUGCCUCUUCUGUUUUUAAUCUCUUCCUUUUCUCUCCUCUCCUGUCAAAUCUCUUCUCCCACUGUAGAGUCCUUGGCGGUGAGCUAUUCAAAGGGUCCUUGAUAUUCUUUAAUGAAUUGUGCUGUUCUCUAAAAGAUGACUGGCGGCCCAUAGAAAAGAGAAGAACAUGUCAGGCACACAAUAGAACAGAGCCUUUAAGAGAGGAGAACAUUGUUUAGGAUGUGAUGCCUGCAGUUUCCCUAGAAAUCACUCAAUGGAGAACAGAUGAAAUGCCACAUUCUAUUAUAACUCUGUGUAUGCAUGGGUGCGUGGGUGUGUUUGUGCGGGUGUGUGUGUGUGUGUGACAGCUGAUGAGACAUCUUUGCUUGGUCCUGGACCUAGCAUACAAUGUAGGUUUCUGUGUGGUUUAAGCUACAGCUACAUUGUCUGCUGGGUUUUAGGCUGGCGACAAAAACAGCCUUCAACAGCUGAAGGAUUCAAUAACUGGCAACAAAAACAGCCUUCAACAGCUGAAGGAUUCAAUAACUGGCGACAAAAACAGCCUUCAACAGCUGAAGGAUUCAAUAACUGGCGACAAAAACAGCCUUCAGCAGCUGAAGGAUUCAAUAAUUCAAUGACUAUUCAACGAGGUAAGUUCACAUUCAGUCUGCAACUAUGUGUCAAAUGUUUCACUUUGAAAACACAAUAAUUGAAAAAAGAUGUAAUAAACAUAUAUAUUCACAAGUA